rnacentral:lncRNA from 12 species
CCUGGCCAAGAUGAAUGUCAGCCCUGAGGACUGCCCUGCCUUUGCAGCAGGCAGGUACUUUGAUAAUUAAAAUAUUGAUGAAUCUGGAGGGUGUUUUGAGACUUGGCAUGAAAGAAGAGAAAAAAACACAAUGGUAACAGACAAAUCCCUGCCCUGACCCACCUUGGAACAGCUGGUAAGCAAUGAUCAGCAAUGGCAAAAGUAGAACUCAAAAUGUUUUGCAAUG